AGCUCCAAUAGCGUAUAUUAAAGUUGUUGCGGUAAAAAAGCUCGUAGUUGGAUUUCUGUUGAGGACGACCGGUCCAUACAACGUAUGCGCAUCUGGUUCGGCCUCGGCAUCCUCUCUAAGGACGUUUCUGCGCUUGAUUGCGUGGGGCGGACUCAGGGACUUUUACUUUGAGGAAAUUAGAGUGUUCACGGCAGGCUAUCGCCAGAAUACAUUAGCAUGGAAUAAUACUAUAGGAUCUUGGUUCUAUUUUGUUGGUUUCUAGAGCUAAGAUAAUGAUUAAUAGGGACAAUUGGGGGCAUUCGUAUCAACACGUCAGAGGUGGAAUUCUUGGAUUGUGUUGCGACGAACUACUGCGAAAGCAUUUGCCAAGGAUGUUUUCA
rnacentral:rRNA from 1 species